GAGGCCAACCAGUACCAGAUCCUGGUGCGGCUCCUCGACGGCCGCACACGCUGCCUCCGCUUCUCGACGACGACCGUCUCCGGCGCGGCGCUCCUCGACGCCGUCUCGGCGCUCUCCCGCGUCCCCGCCGCGUCCCUCCGCCUCGUCACCGGCCGCCUCGACGUCUCGCCGUCCUCCGUCCUCGCCUCCUCCGCCGACGGCCGAUUCCCCUCCGCAUCCGCGCUCCUUCGCCUCCGCGGAGGCAAGGGCGGGUUUGGCUCGCUCCUCCGUGGCGCCGCCUCCAAGGCCGGCCAGAAGAAGACCAGCAACUUCGACGCCUGCCGCGAUAUCAACGGCCGCCGCCUGCGCCACGUUAACGCCGAGCGCCGCCUCGAGGAGUGGAAGGCCGAGGCCGCAGAUCGCCAGCUCGAGAAGCUCGCGGAGGAUUUCAUCAAGAAGAAGGCUAAGGAAGCGGGUCGCGGUGGUGUGAAGGCGGCCGAGGUGGACAAAUACCUCGAGAAGUACCGCAAGGAUGCCGAGAGUUGCGUUAAUGCGGUUGAGGAGUCUGUGCGCGCCUCUCUUGGGAAGAGGAAGACCGUGCCCAAGCCACGCGGUGGGGAAGAUGCCAAGAAGCUUAAGAUUUGGUGAGUGCCUCAAGAAUGACUUAUCUGUUGUGGUCUUUACUCUAUUUUGUUGUAUGUUUAUGAAAAAAAUUGGUUAAUUUGCUGCGAGUCAGUUCAAUUGCAAUCCAUUGGAAUAAAUUAGAAGCAAGUAGGUUCAAUUGUAGUCCAUUGGAAUAAAUAAGGAGCUUCCAUCUUCUUGAAUGAUCCGAUCAAUUAGCUUAGUCGGUUAAAAGUUUUGUACAGAACUCCAGAUGCCGAGUUGAAAUUUGUGCUUGCUCGGAGCUGUUGUAUGCUUGAUUUUGCUGGAACAUACACAGCUAUAAUGAGAUCUAGCUAGUUUAUGUAAGUGUGUGAUUUGUUAGAAGGAAAUUUGUCUUUGUUAUGCUGCCGUCUUGCGCUUAAAUUAAUCAAGCAUGGUAUGCAGACUUUGUGUAGCAAAAGUUAUCAACCAUCUGAAGAGUGGCCAACAUAUUAUUCCAUUUGUGUUGUGAAGUCCCUGAUUUAAUUCAUUUUUGUAGGCUGGGCAAGAAGAAGGUACAAGAGGAUGAGAGUGAUAGCGAUAGUGACAGUGAAAUGGAUGAUGAUGAGGGUGCAGAUACAAAAUCCAUAAUUCUUGAUGAUGGGAAUUCCUCGCAUGGAUCCAAAAGUGAGGACGAGAAGGUUGAUCUGGGUUCAAUUACUGAAUCACCUUCAGAAGGAGAGACCUCAGGUGAGAAGUCUGGACGCUCUGAAUCAGAGGAGAAUGGAAACGGUGUUCAGGAGUCCAGGGAACCUACAAUUAGGUCAGAAGGUGAAUGCGGUGAUUUUAUAUCAGAUGGUGUGGUGGAGCAUGAGAUUGGAG
rnacentral:lncRNA from 1 species